CCGAACCCACUUCAGUUAAAAAUGGAGGGGAUGAGUUGUGGAUAGGGGUGAAAGGCCAAUCAAACACCGUGAUAGCUGGUUCUCCCCGAAAUGCAUUUAGGUGCAGCGUUGCGUGUUUCUUGCCGGAGGUAGAGCUACUGGAUGGCCGAUGGGCCUUCACGGGUUACUGACGUCAGCUAAACUCCGAAUGCCGGUAA
rnacentral:rRNA from 1 species